CUUCUGCAGAAAGUGCUGGAUGAUUUUUCCCCGUAAAUAUAGAAGAAGCCAUAGAAAACCUGCCUUUUCUCAGCUGUGGUGAUAACUUUCCAGGGAAUUGUGGCAUUCAGAUCUAAGCUUGUGAAAUCAAUGCCUUGCUGCAGAAGAACCGGGUUGCAUCUUACUGGACUCCUUUGUGGUUCAGUAUGCACAUGUGUUUGUCAUUGCUCCCCUCUUCCAAUUAUUGCAAACUAUCUCCACAACAGUUACUACAUUAUUACAUUCCUGCUGUAUUUAGUGAUUACUCUAUCCUAUCCUAUCCUAUCCUAUCCUAUCCUAUCCUAUCCUAUCCUAUCCUAUCCUAUCCUAUUCUAUUCAGCUAUCCCAUCCCAUCCCAUCCCAUCCCAUCCCAUCCCAUCCCAUCCCAUCCCAUCCCAUCCCAUCCCAUCCUAUCCUAUCCUAUCCUAUCCUAUCCUAUCCUAUCCUAUCCUAUCCUAUCCUAUCCUAUCCUAUCCUAUCCUAUCCUAUCCUACUCUUAUCCCAGAUCAGAGAAGGAUGCUGCAGAUUGUGGCAGCAGAUAAUUUGUCUACACCUUUUGUAGCUGCAGACCACCAAAGAGCCUAGCAUAAAGGCAUCUGAGGACAGAUUCAAGCACAACUUCAGCAUAUGCAAUACUUGACAUGUACUUACGUUAUUGGGAAUUUAUGAGGUCUGAAUAGUCUUCUGCCUCUUUUUAGCUAUGUUUUGCCUGGGAGGAUGGUGUUCAUCUGACAAAAUGUAGGCAGCUAUGCCUGAGACAGACAAUGGGAAGGAACAAGUCCUUUAGGGGAUCACCAUGUUGCCUAUAUAUAUAUGCAUAUAUUUAUUUAUGUCAAAUAUAUUCACACAUAUACACUGCUUUAUAUAUACACAUGUACUGCAAUAUAUAUACAUAUACAUGUACAUGUAUAUAUAUAGCUCUGUCUAUAUAUGUACGUAGCUUUACACAUAUAUACAUAUGUAUAUGUAUAUAGGCCAAAUGACUCACUGGUUUAAGGCAUGGGUUUUCCUUCACUGACUCUAAAUGAUGCCCAUAUUUAUCAGAUUACCUAUAGAUGCUUAUAUGGUAUAUGUCAAAAACCAAAUGGGAUGAAUCCUUUCCUUAUAGUUCAGGAGGUAUAGAAUGUUAGUGUAAUUUUCUGUUUUGUGAUAAAAUGUGUGUCAUUGUUUUACUGGUUUGUAUUCCUGUUGAGUUACUCUCAUAUCAUAGCCUUGAUAUUUAUACUAUCCAUGCCUGAGUUACUCUUACUCCAUAGCUUUGAUAUUUAUACUUUCCAUGUUUUUUGCUGUUGUUGUUGUUUUAUUUUAUUUUAUUUUAUUCCUGCUGGAAUAAGACUAAUUCAUAAUAUGUAUCUUUAUACAGAUGGAUAUGUAAUGGUCUAACUUUAUGCUGUUAUUUUGUAUGGGAGCAAAAAACAACCUGUAUUUAUGCAAUAGAUGAUAGGUUUCCAAAUCUGUCAGCUGCUCCGAAGUCUGCGAGCAGUGGUACUAGCGCUUGUGCUUCAUUAGGUUAAUGCACAUUAGUUACUGUUAACAUAACUCCGUUAAGCACUGCAGUUAGGCUGGCCUGGCUUGUCCCACUCAU
rnacentral:lncRNA from 1 species